CUUACAUUUUGUCUAUUUUAUGUUUGGGUAAAUGUUUUUGAAACGCGAAAACUGUCAUGGCCGCAAUGUAUGUGUGCGUCUGUUGCUGUUGCUGUUCAAAUGCAUAAUUUUGACUCCGGUGUCAUUGGCCCCAUAUCCUACAAUACAUGUUGACAAAAUGGUUGAUUUGUGGCUGAAAUUCUAUUUAUUGUUUUGGAAAAAGAUUUGUCUUAUUGACAGUUGUUUGCAUUUGUUUACUUAGUAUACGUUCAAUGAUUUUGGUUGUGUUGUUUAAACAGACAAAUUGAUCUUCUAUUCUGAGGAAAUUUCGCAUUUUUCCGUGGCUUCGAUUUAGUUAUUUUGGCAUUUUUCCACUGUUGAGGGAAUUUCGUUGUACUCGAGGAAAUUUUGUCCAAAAUUACUAAUAGGUGUUGUUUUGUAGUAAGUGUUAGGUGGAUAAUAGCUUCAAUUUGGUUUUGUACCAGGUCCUGGGAGCUUUAUUUUUAGGUAGUGUUGUUAUUACCUUAUCAAAUUUUUUUAGUGAUAAGUUUUUAAUAUUCCUUUCGGGUUCUUUUCUUUCGCUUGAACGAUUGAUUUUGAAGUAUGUAAAUGGUUUUUAUCAAUUAGUGUGAAGUUCGGUUCAGACUUUUUCUAGAAAAUCUGCAGUAGAAUACACUUUUUCUUGUCAGUAAACAAUACCUCUUUCACCAUAGAUAAUUGGUACAGUAUGUUAAGUUUUAAUUUUAUUUUCGGCAUCUCAUUUAAGGUGCCUCUCUAGUAAAUUUUUUUAGCACGUUCGACUACUGGCUACGUGUUGCAGCUAGUAGAUGGGCGGAGUGAAAUAUGUUAUCUUGCAAAGUGGUGAAGAAGUAGAUAAAUAUGUAGUUGAGCGGUAUUUGCGAAAAAAAAUGUAAAAAAUCCUUAAAUACCUUUAUUGUAUGCUCUUUAACUUCCUCUUUUCAUUAAAAGCGGCGGAGGUAAGAAAUUCUAAAUACUUUAGGAGAUAUCGAAUUUUUAAGUUUCAUCAUAUGUAGUUCAGCGGUAAUUGCGAAAAAAAAAAUGUUAAAAAUCCGAAAAUACCUUUAUCAUAAGCUCUUCAACUUCCGCUUUUCAUUAAAAGUGGCGGAGAUAAAUUCCAAAUACUUUAGGAGAUAUUGAAUUUUUAAAUAUCAUCACAAUACCAGAGCAUUCAUGUGGCUUGACCAUUGUUUCUUGUUUACGAGUAUCUACUUUUUUUAUUGGAUAAUGAUGUCACGUGAUAGUUCGUGAUAGGCCAGAAUUCAAAUGAACCAAUACGUGAUUAUUUAGUUCAUUUAUUGUUUAAAACAGUGUUUAAUUACCGCCUCCAACUUAGGUGAGUUUUUAACGUUUCUAAUUUUAAAGUCAUAUUUGUAAUUUUGAUAUUUUUGCGCAAGUAAUAAGUAACAAAAAAAAUUUACGUGAGUUGUUACUGUUCAUCCUUUGUUACGGGUUAGUUAGGUACGGUCAGUUACAUUAUAAAUACUUUAAAACUACAGAACCAUUGAAGUUAAUAUAUUAUUUUUAAUGUACGCUUUGUUUCAAAGUAUUUAUAAUGUAACUGACCUGACCUAAUCGACCAUUUUCAUUAAUUAGGCAUUCACAAACACAUGCCAGUAACAAAAAUGGUGUCGGUCUAAUGAUUACAGAGGUCUUGUAUAGCAAAAUAAGAACGGCAAUAUCUCCUAAAGUACAUAUUUGUAAUUUCUUAUCUCCGCCGCUUUUAAUGAAAAGAGGAAGUUGAAGAGCAUAUAAUAAAGGUAUUUUUUGAUUUUUAAAUUUUUUUUCCGCAAAUACUGCUGAACUACAUAUGAUGAAACUUAAAAAUUCUAUAUCUCCUAAAGUAUUUGGAAUUUCUUACCUCUGCCACUUUUAAUGAAAAGAGGAAGUUGAAGAGCAUACAAUAAAGGUAUUUUUGGAUUUUUAACAUUUUUUUUUUCACAAAUACCGCUGAACUACAUAUGAUGAAACUUAAAAAUUCCAUAUCUCCUAAAGUAUUUGGAAUUUCUUACCUCUGCCGCUUUUAAUGAAAAGAGGAAGUUAAAGAGCAUACAAUAAAGGUAUUUUCGGAUUAAAAUGCUUUUACACCAUUUAUAUAGUUCAGACCUUCCACUACCUACAUUAUGAGGACUUAAUUAGUGUAUUUUCUAUUUUAAAUUAAAAGAAAAUUCAAGACAUGUUAUGAAAACAAAAAUUUUAAUGUUAUAUGUGAUUUUUGAGGAAAUAUGGUUAAACUAUUUGAAAUAUUUCAGUUCUACAAAUCUCAAAGUAAAGUGCAUAUCUUCCUCUUCAAUUUGGUUGGUUAUAUGAUCCAGAUAGGUCUUAUGACCAUAGAGUAAGCAUUCAAAUUCUUCUUGGUACUCUUAAAAAAGUUUUUUUCACAAUGUCUUAUCACUAAAUUAUUUUAACUAAAGGGACAAAAGUUGUUUACACAAAAUAUAACUUUACUGUUUUGUAAAAUAUAUAAUUUAUGUUGACAAAAUAGAGCACAAACUAAUUGUUUCGAAAUUUUUUGAGGGUGUGAUAGUUUUUGAAACAGUGAUCAGGGUGAAGUCCAGGUUGUCGUGGACACGUUUCACAAAAGAAUACUGUCUCUCUUCUUCCUCCCUUCGCUUUUCUGUUGGAGCACACUGCACAGUCUUUGUGCUUUCUUCCCUCUAGCUUUCCUAUCACAUGAAGCUUACCAUCUAAAUGUUUCUCUUGAUCACUAGUCGAUGGUCUUCCACGUUUUCGAGAUUGAUUGCGUACGUUACCAACAAGACCUUCAAUAACAUGUUUCCUGAAUGUUUUGUGUAGCAAAACAGGCAUGUUUUGUUUAGUUUGGUACAUGUUAUACAAUUGAAAACUAUUUACAAGUGAGACUUCUAAAAUCCAAAAAUAAAGUUUGCUCCACCACUUCAAACUUUUUUUCACAAAACCAUAACUGGUGCAAUAAUUAUCUGCUCGGUCAACAGCUCCCAUGUGUGCUGUGUAGUCUAUUACUACCUGUGGCUUAGGAAUCUCUUCAUUUUGGUUUUUUGUAGUUCUCUGUACCAUCAUCACAUUAGAAUUGUGACAUGUACUCAACAUAGUUAUAUAUCGUUUAUCAUGCCAAGCUAGCACCAUUAUUUUAUCAUCUUUUCUGUAGGCUUUCACAUCAUGUACUUUGAGUUUUAGGUUUUUAUUCCUAAUUUGAAUUGGAAGUCCCUUCCUAUUUUGCAGUACAGUUCCUGUCAGAUAAAUACCCUUUUUCAAAAGCUCAUUUGCAAGGUCAACACCUGUAUAAAAUCUAUCUCUAUAGAGGAAGUACCCCACUUUGUGUAAUGUUUUGAACCAUUGCUAUCAAUUCCAAAAUUAUACGAGAAGUGAAAGUAAGAUCGGGUCGUAAUAAGGCAUUUAGUUACAGAACCAUAAUAUGGUAUCAGAACUAAAAUGUAACCAUUCAGUGAAUCUGCUAUUACAUAAAUCCGAAGACCCCACUCAGUUGGUUUUUGUGGGUUAUACAUUUUGAAAACAACCCUGCCCUUGAAAUUUACAGUAGAUUCAUCUGCUGCUAAAUGUUGACUUGGACUAUAGUAUUCUAAAAAUUUACUGCCAGUAUAUUCAACAGUGUUUUUCACUUUGCUGAGCCUAGACAUUAUUGGCCUACAUUCUCUUUUUGCAGCAUCGGGAGGAGACACGGAGACACAUGUAAUGCCCAAAAAAUUUGCCAAAAACGUUUCCGGGUGAAAAUAUCUUUGAAAAAUCCAGAUGAAUCCAACUAAUCCUCUGAAAAAAGUCUUGCAGAGAUGUUUUUGUUUUUCGUCCCAUAUUCAACAAAACUCUGUGGAAAGCCAUAAUUUCUUCCAGAGAUACAUCUGUCCACCCCCACCAAAUUGAAUGUUGCUUCAGUGGCAUAAUCUUAGAAAUUUUUUUGUUUUGCAUAGGCAUUUGUUUUUGCUGCAAUUUGCUGGAAAAGACUAACACUGAAAAAAGUUGAAAAAACUGUACAGCAUUAGUUGGUUUAUCAUGUAAAGGUGGCCUAUAACCUGUAUCGUUUGAGUCAAAUGGAAGACAAUCAAAAUCGCGGUCAGUUUCGGUGCACUCCUUCCAAUCAUCACAAACAAUGUCUUGUACCUCACUCUCACUAUCACUGUUUUCAUUGCUGGAAACCACAUUACUAUCAUCAGAUAAAAAGAAAUCAGAAUCUUCAUUAUAAUCUUCUAAAUCACUACCAAACCCUUGAAAAUCACUUUCGCGGCUUGUUGACAUUGUUGCAACCAGGAGUGUUUUCAUAGACAUAGCUAUACAGUGGUGCACCUAGGAAACAAAAUAUGAAAUAAAUUUCAUAGACGUAUGAACUAAAAUACAUAUAGUAACCUUUGCCUGAGACCUUUACUAACAACAUAGAGAAAUAUGGUUGUGUUCCAAAACAUCCAUAGAACAUUCUAAUGUCAUUUAGAUGUCUGGAGAACCAGGCUCGACAAAGGAUUGGAACAGGAAAUAAAAGAUGGAGAACCUGGCUCGACAUAGGAGUGCAAAGAGUUAAUUCUGUUUUAACAUUUUUGAAUUCACAUAAUACGUAAUCAAUAGAUUUACAUUCAUUUCAAACAUUUAUGGCACCAUAAAAUGACGAGGUAGCUCGGGUUUUCAAAUCACAAAUCACAAAAGUCUCCAACAUUUUAUUUUCAAAAUAAUAUCUAGGCGAUGAAAGGUUUUCCACACAGUUACGCGUACAUUUACAUAAAUCUUCCAUACCGCAACUAUAAUCACUUUUUACUAAUAGAUUGUAUUCUAAAACUAGAAAUAAAAACAUUGAAAAUGAAGCAUUAAUACUCAUACACAUAUAAAUUUAUUUUGAAAUUGCAAAAUAUCUUUUGAAUUUGCAAUCACUAAACUACAAACAAAUAUUUAACCUAUUUCCUAAAGAAAUUGUGCAAGUCAAACUCACUUCCCAAUUCUGUAAAUCACAAUCUAACUUUGGGGAAAAAAAUUGGUGUUCGCACCGACAUAUUGUGAGCUCUGUAUUCUACAGGGUGGGCAAAAAGUUCCAUUACCCCCCUACUAACAUGUUAAAUGGUGAAUAUGUUGGACCAAUACACAGUACCACCAAUACAUACACACCAGUUUUGUCUUUAACUGUCCACAACAUCUGUUUGCAUCCCGUCAUUCUCCGAACACAAAAUAAUUUGGCGCCACGUUCUGUGUGACAUUUUGCGCAGCAUCGCUGGAGUAACCCUUUGAAAUGCCUGCCUCACGGCCUCCUUCAAGUCAUCAACAUUUGCAUACCGCUGCUCAGCAACAAUGUCUUUGAUGAACCCCCAGAGUGAAUUGUCACAUGUUGUGAGGUCGGGGCUACGGGGUGGCCAGACAAGUGGAGCUGGUAAUGCAGGUGAUCCACGGCCGAUCCAGCAUUCUGGAAACACCUCAUUAAGAUAUUCACGCACUGAAAUGGCAUAAUGGGGAGGCGCACCAUCUUGUUGAAACCAGCGUUCCUCUCUGAUACCUUUGUCAUCCAACAGGGGUAUGAACCAGGUUCGUAACAUCUGAAGGUAAUGAUGUUGGUUUACAGUUCCUUCAAAGAAAUAUAGACCGUAAAUCUGUUUGCUAUCCAAUGCAGCCCAUAUCAUUACAUGGGGAGGGUUACUCUCCACCUCUUGAUAAAAAUACAGGUUCUUUUUUGACCAAAAGACGACAUUCCGUGAAUGGGAACUCCGGUAUAUGGCACAUUCGUCGCUAAAUAUCACUUUGCCACGUUUUGGUAUUGUGUCAAAAACCUGCAGCGGUGCAUCACAUACAUCCUUCCGUCGGCGUAAAUCGUCUGACAAUUCCUGCACACACGUUGGCAGGGUUCUUACAAUCUGGACUGUCAGGGAAAGUCAGGGAAAAAUAAAUGUGUCAGGGAAAGUCAGUGAGAUAGCUAUAAAGUUAGUGAAAUGAAGUGGAAAGUAAAAUUUCGAAAAAUAACUCUGAAAGAAAUAUAUCUAAUCAAAAAACAUCAUAGGUCUGGCUAUUAGCUAUGUACAUACAUCAUCUCUAGUUGCAAUAAAUUCUGUUCCGCUCACUGUAUCUUUUGAAGGUUACUGCAGUCUUCUGCAUGCAGUAGUGAAUGAAGAUGUGAAAGUAGUAAAGAAGUUCACUAACUCGGCUUGUAUGUCUUAAGUUUUGAGAUAUAUUAAGUAUUAUGCUGUAUUUACCAUUUGUAGUGUUUUGCCAACACACUUACUAGUUUGUUUCAAAAUACAGUGGAACCCCUGAAUUACACUUUUCAAGGGGAAAACUGAAAAAGGUGUAAUUCGGAGGAAAGUGUAAUUGAGGGGAAAGUAAAAUUUUACUCAAAAUAUUCAAUUUUUGCUUAACUGUUAACAGCGUUUCUUUCACGACCACUCGCCAUUGCACGAAUAUCGCGAAAAGUAAUCAUAAACGUGAAUAAAUUAUGUGUACAACGUGUCAAUAAAGCACGAAAAUUUACGUCAAGGUAAACAAAAACAAAGCCCAAAAUCACUGGUACCAAACAAACAGAGUGGCGUGCAGUAUCUGUUGCCAACUUUUGCCAAGGAGUGAGAAACUGUAUUUGCUAUGCAGACGUGUUCCAUGGUGCUUUGAAAACUGGCACUGAAUCUGUUGGAUGGGACAUUAGUACCUUGUUGCUACACUUAUAUUUUCUUUUCCAUGAUUCUCCAGCUCGACGAGCAUUAUUUACAGAGCUGACGGGAUGCACAAUAUUUCCUUUGAAGUUCUGUAAUGUACGUUGGCUAGACAAUGCCAAGUGCCUUAAAAGAGCGUUAGAGAUAUGGGAUCAUGUUGCAAAAUUUGUUAAUGUAGCCAAGCUUCCGAAGACAAAAGUUGCAAAAACCUUGAUUGAAGCCGUUCGUGAUCCAUUUGUAAAGUGUAAAUUGGCAUUCUGCAAGACAAUUGCAGAUGAUUGUGAGCCCUUUCUUAAGAAGUUUCAAACUUCAAAACCCAUGAGUCCAUUUAUUUUUGAAGCAGUGCAAAAACUUCUGAGAGAAAUUAUGAACCGCUGUGUAAAGCCUGACGUGAUGAAGUGUACUAGCACAAAUCUGCUCUCUGUUGAUGUAAAAAAAUCAGACAAUUUGAUCCUAAGCAAUAAAGUUGAUGUUGGAUUUGCAGCAAAAUGCUUUCUUGCAGAAGUAUCAACCUCUGUAACGGAAAGAGAAAAGCUUGAGUUUAUGCAUGAAUGUUGGGGUAUGUUGACAGCCAUGACUGCCAAACUUCAAGAAAGAUGUCCUUUGAAGUACAAAGCAGUUAGAGGAUUGUCUUCUCUAGAUCCCUCGAUUAUUCAACACUCACCUUCGCUUGGUCAGAAAAGGUUUUCUUUUCUUUUAGAUGAGCUACUUGCUUCAAACAAAAUAUAUGAUGAAGUUGCAGAAAAGGCUAAAAAAGAAUACUGUAACUUGUGUGAUAUGAAGAAAACUGUACUUAGUGAAAUGUUUCAAGAAUACUGCAAAAAUAAUGAGGAGGCAAGACUCGAUAGUACCUAUGGAAACUUCAUGAGAGGAAGUGAAGUGUACAAAAACCUGUGGGAAGUUAUUAAUCUAUGUCUUGUGCUCUCCCAUGGUAAUGCAACUGUGGAAGGGGGUUUUUCAAUUAAUAAGUCACUAUUAAUUGAAAACAUGCUAGAAAAGACAGUGAUAGCACAACGCCAUAUUCAAGAUGAAGUGCAACAGGCAGGAGGGAUUGAGAAUGUGAAAAUAGAUAAAAGGAUGUUAGAUUAUGUGAAAAGUGCUCAAAAACGAUAUCAAGAUUAUUUGGAACUUAGAAAACAGAAAACAAGUGAGGAAACAACAAGAAAGGGAGAAAAGAGAUUGUUAGAAAAACAAGUGAAAGAGUUAGUAGAAGAAAGAAAAAAAUUUAUGAAGGAAAUAGAAGAAAAAAAGGAAGCAAUGGAAAGGGAAUUAAAAGAACUUAAAAAAAAAAGAGCUUUGCUGUAACUAGUAUUUCAAAUUUUUUGAAUUUAUUUGUUACAUGUUAACAUUUAGUUUAGUAAUUGAAUUACAUAUUUAUUGAAUCACAGUGUUUUGAAUUUUUUAAUAUUCAUGUCAAAAAUGGAAGUUUUAGUAAAGUUUGUGUCUGCUUUCUGAUAUUUAUAUUUAAGGUGUGGUACAGUUAGCUGAAGGAAAGGAGGAGGCCAAUAUAAUUAGGGCACUGUUAAAACAUCAAUAUUUUUUGUAAAACUGAAUUUUUUUUUCUUCGUAAUUGGUCAGGGAAGUUUCAAUGAAUGGUCAGGGAAAAGUCAGGGAAAUAAAUGUGACUCAGGCUGUAGGAACCCUGGUUGGGUGAUACGGGCGUAACUUUAAGUCAUCUUUCAUAUGCUUUCGCAAAGUGGACCGGGGCACACCCAGUUCUGCUGACCUUUUCCGUGUUGACUUCAUUGGUGACCUUUCCACAGAUGCUGCAACGUCUCUGCAUUGUUCUUCUCGUGUUGAUGGCCGACCACUUCUGGGUUUAUCCCUAACACUACCGGUAGCAAAGAGUUUUUUCUCCCACCGCAGAAGUGUUUGUAUUGGAGGUGGCUCACGUCCGAAUCGCAACUGGAGGUAUUUGGCUACUGGCAACAGUUACCAGACCAUCGCUUUUUCUUUUCGCCUGGGACGUUUAACUGUUUCCAACAUAGUGAGAGACGUUUGUCGGGAAAUAUGGAACGUUUUGCAGCCAAUAUAUAUGCCCCCUCCCACUACACAGACUUGGAAAGAAGCUGCGGAAGGUUUUUCAGCACUAUGGGGUUUUCUGAACUGUGUUGGAAGCAAAGAUGGGAAACACAUCAAAUUAAAAUACCCCAAUAACAGCGGAUCUGAAUAUUACUGCUACAAAGAUUUUUUUUUCUCUCGGCCUUCUGGCAGUGGUGGACCAUUCUACAAGUUCAUAGUAGUUGACAUCGGAAGUUAUGGACGACAUAGCGACAGUGUUAUAUUUGAGAAUUCCGCUCUCUACCGGCAGUACAUUGAUGGAAACACUAUUCUCCCUCCAAAGCCAUUACCUGGCACAAAUACUCCUAUGCCUCAUGUCAUCGUCAGCGACGAAGGCUUCGCACUUCAAACGUACCUUAUGAGGCCGUAUCCUAAAGUUGGAAUGAUCAAUCCUAAAAAAAAAAUGUUUCAAUUCACAGCUCAGUCGAGCCCGUCGUGUCGUGGAAAAUGCGUUCGGUAUAUUGGCCAUGAAAUGGCGUGUAGUUUUGAGACCAAUAGAAACAGGUGUCUCAAUUGCAGAUUGCGUAGUUAAAGCUGCUACCUGUUUGCAUAACUACAUUAUAAUGAAGAAUAAUGUUCAAGUAGAAUAUUCAGCGAAUGAUCUAACCCUUUAAAGGUCAGGGGAAGAAAAUUGUUUUUGUACUCAGUUGUUUGGUGGUUUCCUGAGCUGACCACCCUUCUUUGUCUCCGUAACGCAAAAUAUAUUUUUUAUUUUUUUUCCCUAAAUUUAUUUGUUUUAUUUUGUAGCUGACAUAUUUCUGAAAGUCUGUUAGCCAUUUAAAAUAUUAUCUACUACUCAAAUGUAAGAUAUGCAACUAUUAAGGGUGGUUACCCCUGAUAACCACCAUUCAUUUAGUAAUAUAAACAGCAGCUUACACUGAAGUGAUGUCGAAAUGUUUGGUGGUUACUCCUGGUAACCACCAAAUAUUUUUGAUUUUAAAAAUAUUUUAUUUGACUCUAAAAUUAAAAAAUGUGUUUUUUUGUGGUUAUUACAUUGCCUGAUGGAUUUACAAACAAUUUUUCAACUCUAUUUAUUUUUAAUUAUGUAGGCCUACAGUAUUAAUUUCACAACAGAUCCUAAAUACAUUAUUGUUAUGAAUACAGUGCAAGUAAAACGGAACUAAAAUGUGCAAUUUAAAAUAUGGGUUUUACAGCAAAUAAUUUUACACCAAAUAACUGACAAAAUAUCAAAAAAUUCUUAAUCUACAAUUGCAACAAGGAUUAAAAUGUAAUACAUAUAUAUUGAUCAAUGUAACUAUGACAGUUCUGUAAAUAUGUAAUGUACAAAGAUUAGCACUUUUCAAGUUGAGGGCUUACUCAUUUUCUCAUGAAAUAGUUCAAAGCAGGGUAUUUUACAGAGAGCCACAUCACAAAUUUUACAUGAAAGACUGCUUCUGACAGGUUUACUUUUUGUACUGCAGUUGGCACAUCUUCUUGAGGUUCCUUUUACAGACAAAUGACCUUCUGUCUGCGGAACAAAUACUGUUGGACGUAAAGAAAAAUUUUUUUUCGUUACGACCACUCUUUGCUUUUUCUGCUUCCUAUUGCAAAAAUCAGCAAUUAAUUCAUCAGCAAGUCUGCUUCGAAACAGGAGAUGGCUAAUGGGUUUCUUUUGUUGUCGCUUCAUUUCUAAUUUGUAUAGUACAAAAGAAUUUACUAUGGCUGCAUCAAUAAGAUAAUAAAACACUUUAACCCACCACCUCCGAGACUUCAAUUGAAUACUAUAAUAUGACAUAUACUGGUCAAACAUGUCGAUCCCUCCCAUGUAUUUGUUGUAUGUUGAAACCGAUAUUGGACUUUGAUGUCUUCCUUUGUACCAGAUUUGUUUUUACGUUUUAUGGUGCAUGUUUCAGCUGGAUCAUCCAUUGAACUCAAGACACAAACAGCCCUCGUGCCUCUAUCCUUCCAUUUCACAAUUCUCAUUUCUUUUGUUGAAACAAAAUCAUGUUCUCCAAGCUGCAAAUUUUGUCUUUUUUCAAAAGAUCUUUGGGAAAAUGUUUCUUUGUCUGUAACAUGGUACUACAACAAAAAAUUCCUUUCAUCAAAAGCUUUUUACCUAAUCUAAAACUAGAAAAAAAAAUCUAUAAAAAAAGACAAUAACCAAGAGAUUCGAAUCCACGCACCAAUCCUCCUAAAGGUCCCUCGCAAACUGUAGUUUUUCCUGCAUUAAAUUCGAAUCCUAACAUGUAACCUGUUACAGCACAGCAGAUUACCCAUAUUUUGAAACCUAUUUUAAUUGGUUUCAUUGGCAUGUAUUGCUUGAAAGAGGACCAACCUUUGAAAGCAAUCAUGCUCUCAUCAAUAGACAAAUAUCUAGUAGGGUCAAACAUUUUUCUAAAAACUUCAUUAAAGUGGUCCAGAAAAGGUCGCACUUAAUAUAAUUUGUCAAAAUUUGGACUGUUUCUUUCCGGCAUUUUACUAUUGUCAUUGUGGUGUAGCAUACGCAAAAUUAACAGAAAUCUUUUCUGUGGCAUUAUUUUCGAAAUCCUUUCAUUACCGAAAUUUAGGUUCGAUGACCAAUACAAACGUAGUGAUGGCAACUGAUUGAAUCCCAUUAUCACUAAUAUGCCAAUUAAAGCAUUGAUUUCGGAAACUUGACAUUUCUAAGCACUGACCUUUCUGUUGACUGUACAAAACAGUUUGUUGUACAAUCAUUUCCGCAACUUUUAUGUUAAAAAACAAGAAAAAAUUGGAAGAAAAACUGUUUGUGUUUAUAUUUACUUUAGCUCCAACAUGCUGGUCAAAUUUUGUUUGUUCGUAAUGAGAUUUUAUUUUAUGGCUCUCAAAAGCUUUUCCUCAUUUUGGUACAAAAUCAUCUUCCUCACCUUCAUUUUUAUUUUCAUGGAGUAUAUUCUCUUCUGGAUUUUCAUCCGAAAAAACUCCUUCCUCUGCUGGAUCAUCACAUUCAAAAUUAUUUGCAGGAUCUUCAGCAUAUGUAGAAGCUGCUGCAUCUAAGUAAGUUGCAUUACUUGUGGAAAGAUCUACACUCAAAACAUCUGAAGAAUUCUGCCAAAGUGUACUUCCUCUGCAAUCAAGCACAAACAUAUUUAUAGAGCCUGUAAAUAAUGUAGAUAUAAAUAUUUAAAAAUAUUACAAUUGUAGAAAUGGUAUACCUUCUUGGUCGCUUUUCUGCUGGCUCCGUAGAUGCAGUAACUUGCAACAUGUCAUCUGCAUCACUAUCUCCACCUUCUUCAGAAUUACAUGCCUGGUCGUCAUCCAACAGAUCAAACCUUCUGAGGACUUCGUUGAAAUCAAGACCUUCCAACUCAGACAGUGGGACAGUUAUUGACUUUAUUUUUCUGUGAAGUAAUAAUUUACUUCUACCAAGCAUACAUUUAGCCUUAUGAAUUUCUUAUGGUACGUAAGGCUAAAUAUAACAUAUAUAUAUUAUUUCACAGUAAGUAUCAUUUUAAUUUAUUUUAUUCAAAGUAGUACAUCUACAUUUUAUUUCUAGUAAUGAAAAAAUGUCCUGAAUAAUUGAGCAAAACAAGGCACUGGUUUACUCUCAACAUCUAAGCCAGAAACUAAUAUACUGCAUAUUAGUUAUUAAGAUAUAAUAUAUGAUAUUGAAAUAUUCAAAUAAAUGCAUUACAUAUCAAAAAAUAUUUGUACAAAUACUGAUAACC